AUGGGGUAUAUUGGACAAUGGGCGCAAGCCUGAUCCAGCCAUGCCGCGUGAGUGAUGAAGGCCCUAGGGUUGUAAAGCUCUUUCACCGGUGAAGAUAAUGACGGUAACCGGAGAAGAAGCCCCGGCUAACUUCGUGCCAGCAGCCGCGGUAAUACGAAGGGGGCUAGCGUUGUUCGGAAUUACUGGGCGUAAAGCGCACGUAGGCGGACAUUUAAGUCAGGGGUGAAAUCCCAGAGCUCAACUCUGGAACUGCCUUUGAUACUGGGUGUCUUGAGGAUGGAAGAGGUAAGUGGAAUUCCGAGUGUAGAGGUGAAAUUCGUAGAUAUUCGGAGGAACACCAGUGGCGAAGGCGGCUUACUGGUCCAUUACUGACGCUGAGGUGCGAAAGCGUGGGGAGCAAACAGGAUUAGAAACCCGGGUAGUCC
rnacentral:rRNA from 1 species